rnacentral:rRNA from 1 species
GAUGAACGCUGGCGGCGUGCCUAAUACAUGCAAGUCGAGCGAACGGACGAGAAGCUUGCUCCUCUGACGUUAGCGGCGGACGGGUGAGUAACACGUGGAUAACCUACCUAUAAGACUGGGAUAACUUCGGGAAACCGGAGCUAAUACCGGAUAAUAUAUUGAACCGCAUGGUUCAAAAGUGAAAGACGGUUUUGCUGUCACUUAUAGAUGGAUCCGCGCUGCAUUAGCUAGUUGGUAAGGUAACGGCUUACCAAGGCAACGAUGCAUAGCCGACCUGAGAGGGUGAUCGGCCACACUGGAACUGAGACACGGUCCAGACUCCUACGGGAGGCAGCAGUAGGGAAUCUUCCGCAAUGGGCGAAAGCCUGACGGAGCAACGCCGCGUGAGUGAUGAAGGUCUUCGGAUCGUAAAACUCUGUUAUUAGGGAAGAACAUAUGUGUAAGUAACUAUGCACAUCUUGACGGUACCUAAUCAGAAAGCCACGGCUAACUACGUG